UACGGAGGGUGCGAGCGUUAGUCGGAAUAACUGGGCGUAAAGGGCACGCAGGCGGUCUUUUAAGUCAGAUGUGAAAUCCCCGGGCUUAACCUGGGAAUAGCAUUUCAGACUGGGAGACUAGAGUACUUUAGGGAGGGGUAGAAUUCCACGUGUAGCGGUGAAAUGCGUAGAGAUGUGGAGGAAUACCGAAGGCGAAGGCGGCCCCUUGGGAAUGUACUGACGCUCAGGUGCGAAAGCGUGGGGAGCAAACAGG
rnacentral:rRNA from 1 species